rnacentral:rRNA from 1 species
UACGGAGGGUGCGAGCGUUGUCCGGAAUCACUGGGCGUAAAGGGCGCGUAGGCGGUGCCGUAAGCGUGUGGUGAAAGCUCGGGGCUCAACCCCGAGUCGGCCAUGCGAACUGCGGGACUCGAGCCCACUAGAGGCAGGCGGAAUUCCGGGUGUAGCGGUGGAAUGCGUAGAGAUCCGGAAGAACACCGGUGGCGAAGGCGGCCUGCUGGGGUGGAGCUGACGCUGAGGCGCGACAGCGUGGGGAGCAAACAGG